UACAGAGGGUGCAAGCGUUGUUCGGAAUUAUUGGGCGUAAAGGGCGCGUAGGCGGUGCCACAAGUCACCUGUGAAACCUCUGGGCUCAACUCAGAGUCUGCUAUAGAAACUGCCGUGCUUGAGUGUGGGAGAGGUGAGUGGAAUUCCCGGUGUAGCGGUGAAAUGCGUAGAUAUCGGGUGGAACACCUGUGGCGAAAGCGGCUCACUGGACCACAACUGACGCUGAUGCACGAAAGCUAGGGGAGCAAACAGG
rnacentral:rRNA from 1 species